rnacentral:rRNA from 1 species
UACGUAGGGUGCAAGCGUUGUCCGGAAUUAUUGGGCGUAAAGAGCUCGUAGGUGGUUUGUCGCGUCUGCCGUGAGAACCCGAGGCUUAACCUCGUGGCUUGCGGUGGAUACGGGCAGACUAGAGGUAGGUAGGGGAGAACGGAAUUCCCGGUGUAGCGGUGAAAUGCGCAGAUAUCGGGAGGAACACCGGUGGCGAAGGCGGUUCUCUGGGCCUUACCUGACGCUGAGGAGCGAAAGCGUGGGGAGCGAACAGG